AUACGGGCUAGGGGGGGAGUUGACGUGCUCUAUUUUUCACAAAUCGUCGAAAAUGGUGACCCGAAGUCCGAGGGCGGCGCANACGAACCACUGAGAUUACCCCAGUCAACUGCGAUGUCUCGCCCCCAAGAGAUCCAGGUUGGCAGGAGGGAAACCCGGAGGGGUUCCNCAAAUGUCUCACGCCCGGGAACCAGGUCAGGCGCGGAAGCGAGCAGCCCGACCGGGGAUGCUGGAUGCCUUGGGACUUCGGGACGGAGAAGGCUGGGGUGUAAGUCUCUUUGAUGACGAGCGUCCACCGAGGACAUGCCCACCA
rnacentral:SRP_RNA from 1 species